GGUACCCCAACAAUGAUAGAAGACAGGAUUACGACAGGCGUUUACAGUUAGCUUUUUUGGGUUUUAAGUUCCUGUUGAGUGACAACUUUCACGACCCCGAACACGCGAGCAAAACAAAAUUGCACGGUGGUACAGAACAAUAAAACCAAAACAAAUUGCUGAAGUCAAGGCUAGUGCUUAAUUAUUAUUUAACAUUCUAAGUGAAAAAUGUAUUAACUUGAAAAAGAAGUCCGCAAUGGCGGAAUUAAACAACAAUAGUACAAAAAAGUCGUCUAUAAAGAAUUUUUUUCACUUUUCCAACCAACAAAAAAGUUGGCAACUUUUUGUAACAAAACAUAUAAUUUUAAUUAUAAAUGUGCAUGAUUAUAUGGGAUCAUUUUAUAAAUGAAGAUUUUAAGAAUUACGUUCAUUGUGAUAUUUUAUCUGCACAUUAUUCAAUUUGGUUCACUAUGUUUCACAUUUCCGUUUUCCAUUUGACAAUUCUUCUGUUGCCUAUUCCCAUUCGUGGGUCGUGAACGCUUCAGCCUGUCGUAACCCAGCAAGUCAUGGGUACUGAAACUCCAACACAUUCAAAGAAAUUUUAAUAACACCAGUACGUACACACAUACACAACAAAGGGUAAAAUGUACAUAAACAUUUAACUCAACUCUUCUCUCAUACACAAUGAUAGAAAGAAACAACCAAAGUUCUCGUGUUUGAACAAGUUUUGUUUUGAGCUAUAUCAUGGUUGCUUGUGAAGUAUUAUUUUGCGUGUUUUAUUUAAUUCAGUGAUCUGCAGCCUAAUUAAAGUUUAAAUUUUUGAAGCACGCAUAUUUAAAUAAGUAAAACGUAAAAUAAAGGUUUUCCAAAGCCAAAAUAUGGAAUUGAAGAGGGUGAUACAGAAAUAGUUCUUUGCACUGUCAAUUCGAAGCACGCAAUAGAAGCUACGCCAACAAUGGUUAACAUCAAUGGCGAAACCAUUGAAUACAUAUUUCAAACCUCAUAUGGCGCGUUAAAGGUACGCAAAUUUAUUGGUGUCACUUAUUGUAGCAGCGUAGAACUUUCGAAGCGAUGGAAUAUGUGCUGCAAGCAAAUCCAAAACUAUGGACGCAAACGCUGCUACAUGGAACACAAAUCAUUCACACACCAGACAUUACGUUUAAUGUCACUUUUUUGCGUGCAAUUAAACCUUUUGGUCAACACAAGCACGAGAAUUGGAACGACAUGGCGUGUUUCAACUGGGUUUUGCCAAUGAGCUAGAGGGCAAAGCAGUUUCAGUAUCUUUGAGCUUACCGGCACUUGGCCGUGCCAUUAGCAGCUAAAACACAGAAAUUAAAGGGAGGACUUUUUUGAUUCAUUUUCACCUUGUAUUGAGGAACCAUAACGUUGUUGUAUCGCUUUACAAGGACAUAAAUUCACCGAAAUUAGUUCAUUGGAAAUACUACAGCAAGAGCAUGGAUGUUAGGACUUGAACGGUGCCGUGUUAGAUUUAGAAUUCCAGAAACAUAAGAAACCCUCCUCCCAGAUGAAUCUAGUACUAGUGAAAUUAAUGAAAGAACAGAUCUUAUAAAAACUCCGAAAGAAACCAAAAGAGUCCUCACAUAAUGUGCGCAGCUUACACUUCCAGACCGCAUGGGGUAUUUGACAUUUUCCACUCUUCCUCCAGCCUUUGUCCGAUAGCAAAAAUUGUUCAAAUAUUCAUUUUCACCUACUUUAUACAUAUAUAUAUAGUGUAGUACGAUAAUAUAUUUAUAAAGUAAAUAUAAUAAUAAACAACUAAAUGGCAUGAUAUUUUAAAUAAAUAUGUAAUAUAAU